rnacentral:rRNA from 1 species
UACGAAGGGGGCUAGCGUUGCUCGGAAUCACUGGGCGUAAAGGGUGCGUAGGCGGGUGUUUAAGUCAGGGGUGAAAUCCUGGAGCUCAACUCCAGAACUGCCUUUGAUACUGAAGAUCUCGAGUCCGGGAGAGGUGAGUGGAACUGCGAGUGUAGAGGUGAAAUUCGUAGAUAUUCGCAAGAACACCAGUGGCGAAGGCGGCUCACUGGCCCGGUACUGACGCUGAGGCACGAAAGCGUGGGGAGCAAACAGG